rnacentral:lncRNA from 14 species
CUCAACAUGGCCUCUGCCUGUAGUCUACACACAACAGAGGAAGAUCAGCCCAGCCUACAGACUAACAGUGCACUUGACCAUCACGACAAACUUAGCA